ACGCGAAGACCUUACCUGGCCUUGACAUCUGUCGAAUCCUGCAGAGAUGUGGGAGUGCCUUCGGGAACGACAAGACAGGUGCUGCAUGGCUGUCGUCAGCUCGUGUCGUGAGAUGUUGGGUUAAGUCCCGCAACGAGCGCAACCCUUGUCCUUAGUUGCCAUCAUUCAGUUGGGAACUCUAAGGAGACCGCCGGCGACAAGCCGGAGGAAGGUGGGGAUGACGUCAAGUCAUCAUGGCCUUUAUGGCCAGGGCUACACACGUGCUACAAUGGUAGGUACAGAGGGAAGCCUACUCGCGAGCGGGAGCCAAUCCCAGAAAUCCUACUCAUAAUACGGAUCUGAGUCUGCAACAUCUAUCUGUAAAGUCGGAAUCACAACAAAUCACAAAUUUACAAAUGCAAGACUAAAAAACAUCACACACGGGACUCGGGACAACACG
rnacentral:rRNA from 1 species